rnacentral:rRNA from 1 species
GACGAACGCUGGCGGCGUGCUUAACACAUGCAAGUCGAACGGAAAGGCCCUGCUCUUGUGGGGUGCUCGAUUGGCGAACGGGUGAGUAACACGUGAGUAACCUGUCCUUGACUUUGGGAUAACUUCAGGAAACUGGGGCUAAUACCGGAUAGGAGCUCCUGCUGCAUGGUGGUGGUUGGAAAGUUUCGGCGGUUGGGGAUGGACUCGCAGCUUAUCGGCUUGUUGGUGGGGUAGUGGCUUACCAAGGCUUUGACGGGUAGCCCGCCUGAGAGCGUGAACGGCGACAUGGGGACUGAGAGACGGAGCAGACGCCUACGGGAGGCAGCAGGGGGGAAUAUUGCACAAUGGGCGGAAGCCUGAUGCAGCAACGCCGCGUGCGGGAUGACGGCCUACGGGUUGUAAACCGAUGUCGAAGGAGACGAAGAGGGAGUGACGGUAACGGGUAAAGAAGCACCGGCUAACUACGUG